GAGAGAGGUUUGUAACGCCAGGGGACUGCUAAUCCUCUGAAACUGAGGUUAAACUCCUCAGCUCACUCG
rnacentral:tRNA from 1 species